GUCCACGCUGUAAACGAUGGAUACUCGGUAUCAGGGGAUUCGACCCCCUUGGUGCCUAAGCUAACGCAUUAAGUAUCCCGCCUGGGUAGUACGGCCGCAAGGCUAAAACUCAAAGGAAUAGACGGGGACCUACACAAGCGGUGGAGCAUGUGGUUUAAUUCGACAAUAAGCGAGAAACCUUACCAGGGCUUGACAUCUCGGGAAUUUUCAAGAAAUUGGAAAGUGCCUUUACCGGAACCCGAAGACAGGUGUUGCAUGGUUGUCGU
rnacentral:rRNA from 1 species